AGGAAUCUGCCAUUUAGUGGGGGACAACAUUCCGAAAGGAAUGCUAAUACCGCAUACGUCCUACGGGAGAAAGCAGGGGAUCUUCGGACCUUGCGCUAAAUGAUGAGCCUAAGUCGGAUUAGCUAGUUGGUGGGGUAAAGGCCUACCAAGGCGACGAUCUGUAGCGGGUCUGAGAGGAUGAUCCGCCACACUGGGACUGAGACACGGCCCAGACUCCUACGGGAGGCAGCAGUGGGGAAUAUUGGACAAUGGGCGGAAGCCUGAUCCAGCCAUGCCGCGUGUGUGAAGAAGGCCUUUUGGUUGUAAAGCACUUUAAGCGAGGAGGAGGCUCUCCUAGUUAAUACCUAGGAAGAGUGGACGUUACUCGCAGAAUAAGCACCGGCUAACUCUGUGCCAGCAGCCGCGGUAAUACAGAGGGUGCGAGCGUUAAUCGGAUUUACUGGGCGUAAAGCGUGCGUAGGCGGCUGAUUAAGUCGGAUGUGAAAUCCCUGAGCUUAACUUAGGAAUUGCAUUCGAUACUGGUCAGCUAGAGUAUGGGAGAGGAUGGUAGAAUUCCAGGU
rnacentral:rRNA from 1 species